rnacentral:rRNA from 1 species
AUUGAACGCUGGCGGCAUGCCUUACACAUGCAAGUCGAACGGCAGCACGGGGGCAACCCUGGUGGCGAGUGGCGAACGGGUGAGUAAUGCAUCGGAACGUGCCCAGUAGUGGGGGAUAACCCGGCGAGAGCCGGGCUAAUACCGCGUACGACCUACGGGUGAAAGCGGGGGACCGUAAGGCCUCGCGCUAUUGGAGCGGCCGAUGUCUGAUUAGCUAGUUGGCGGGGUAAAGGCCCACCGAGGCGACGAUCAGUAGCUGGUCUGAGAGGACGACAAGCGACACUGGGACGGAGACACGGCCCAGACGCCUACGGGAGGCAGCAGUGGGGAAUUUUGGACAAUGGGCGCAAGCCUGAUCCAGCCAUGCCGCGUGCGGGAAGAAGGCCUUCGGGUUGUAAACCGCUUUUGGCAGGAACGAAACGGCGCAAGCUAAUACCUUGCGCUAAUGACGGUACCUGCAGAAUAAGCACCGGCUAACUACGUGCCAGCAGCCGCCGUAAAAC